rnacentral:rRNA from 1 species
AGAGUUUGAUCAUGGCUCAGAUUGAACGCUGGCGGCAUGCUUUACACAUGCAAGUCGAGCGGCAGCGCGGGGGCAACCCUGGCGGCGAGCGGCGAACGGGUGAGGAAUACAUCGGAACGUACCCCGGAGUGGGGGAUAACCCAGCGAAAGUUGGGCUAAUACCGCAUAUGCUCUGAGGAGGAAAGUGGGGGAUUCGCAAGACCUCACGCUCUGGGAGCGGCCGAUGUCCGAUUAGCUUGUUGGUGGGGUAAUGGCCUACCAAGGCGACGAUCGGUAGCUGGUCUGAGAGGAUGAUCAGCCACACUGGGACUGAGACACGGCCCAGACUCCUACGGGAGGCAGCAGUGGGGAAUUUUGGACAAUGGGGGCAACCCUGAUCCAGCCAUGCCGCGUGCGGGAAGAAGGCCUUCGGGUUGUAAACCGCUUUUGGUCGGGAAGAAAAGGUUAUCCCUAAUAAGGAUGACUCUUGACGGUACCGGCAGAAUAAGCACCGGCUAACUACGUGCCAGCAGCCGCGGUAAUACGUAGGGUGCGAGCGUUAAUCGGAAUUACUGGGCGUAAAGCGUGCGCAGGCGGUUUGUUAAGUCUGAUGUGAAAGCCCCGGGCUCAACCUGGGAACUGCAUUGGAAACUGGCAAGCUCGAGUAUGGCAGAGGGGGGUGGAAUUCCGCGUGUAGCAGUGAAAUGCGUAGAGAUGCGGAGGAACACCGAUGGCGAAGGCACCCCCUGGGCCAAUACUGACGCUCAGGCACGAAAGCGUGGGGAGCAAACAGGAUUAGAUACCCUAGUAGUCC